AGUUGGACACUUAACCAACUGAGACACCCAGAGGCCAUAAAGAUGAAUAGAGUAAGAAUAUAAUAGAGGCCCUUUGAUUGUUGAAAAGACUUCUACGGCAUUGGAGGAAGCCUGGAGGCUCCAAAGCAUAGAUCUCAGCAAGGUCUUUGUGUGGGAGCUAGCAACAUGCUGCUCCAUAAGAAUGCAGGCGCAGCCGUGUGGAGAUCACGUUGACUGGGUGGCAGCGACAUGGACUUUUGGGAUCAGCAGCUCUUGGUCAAGAAACAAAAGCAGAAUCCUCCCAAUUCCCCAUGGAUUUGAAUGAAAACUGCUGAUAAAACCAAGUACAACUGCAAAGGAGAUGUCGGAGAAGAACCAAGAUGGUUUCAACUCAAUAAUGGAGGAGGGUCGCAUAGAACAGAAUCAUUCCUGUUGGCAGGGGGAAGCAUGUAGACAUAUCAAUUCUUCAGAAGGUGAUGCUGGACAAGAUACAGAAAGAGAUGUUACUCUGAGACUGACACAGGCAUCUCUCAGAAAUAGCAAAAGAAUGCCUCAUAUGAAUGAAAGCUUUAAUCAUCCACAGCUCUACUGGAGAAAAAUCUCACGAAGAUGGGGUGUUGAAAUAAAGGUAUUGAUCUACACAGUUUCAGGCUCAUUUAUGAAUUACGAAUGGAUCAUGUUCUUUACAGACUUACAAAUAUUAUCUAUUAUCAUCAUUUGACAUUUCUGAGAGGAUUCACUAAAAUUGGAACUCAGUAUUACUGAAAACUAAAAGGCUGGAAAAAGAGACAAAACGCUUUUCCAAAACUGCCAAAAGGUGUGUCUCAGUGCUCUAUGGACAGAAGUGGGCACCCAUCUUACAGGCUGGUAGAAGUUAUUUUGGGUAGACCCUCAUGGUCAAACAGUGCAAUACCCACUUAUUUUCCUUAGAUUAACUCUGGAUAUUGGCAAAGUAAUCUAAAGGAAAGUACUUCAAACUGAGAUAUUGUUUUGUUUAUUCAUGUAAAAGUAUGUUCUAUAGUAGGGAUGCAAUGGUGGUUAUCACAACAAAAGAAAAUUUAAUGUGGGUAACAUUUCUAGUUUUCCACAUUUGUGGGGUUGGAGUCAUUCCUUUCCUCCCUGCAGAAGCAUACCCAGACACUGCAAUCCUUUGACUUUCUAACUGAUUUAAGGAACACACUGUAAACCAGAAGAGAGGCCUAUUGAUACUACAGUACUUUUGAACUGGUCACUUCCACAUUUACCGAAUCUCUGAAAAGACUGAAAUGAACAUAAGAGUCCAUGAAAUACAACACUCUUAUUAUCAAAUGCUCUGCCUCAUCCAACUCUUCCCAGCGCAGAAGAACUGUGUUCUCUCUUUAGGGUGACUCUACACCCUCAUUUGGCACUUUGCAUCUGAAUCUUUAUAUUUGCAUGCAUUCCCUUAGCAACACAUUGUAAUUCAACUCAAUUCAAUCCCACUUGGUUUAAAAUAUUUAUUCUGUACCUAUUACCUGUCAGGGACUGUGAGAAGUAUUGGUGAUAAAUACCUGAGACAUGGUCCCUGGCUUCUUAUAAACAGCUUAAUAUAUAGAUGAGGAGGCUGGCACAUGAUCCGAGUUUAGUGGGAUAAGUGCAACCACAGAAGUAUGACCGAUGGAACAGGUAGCAGCGUAGAAGUAACAGGGCUGAAGGCACAGGUGUCGAGACAUGGUUCUUACAGAUGUGACAUUUGUGAUAGGCUCUGGGACCAGUUGAUGGUCCUUAGGCAAGGGUAGGAGAAAGAUAAUUCUAUUUUAAGCAGAAAGAAAGCACAUGCAAAGGACUAGAACAUGUCAUAUUUGACCCAUUUGGGGAAAUGCGAGUAGUGCAGCACCAAUAGAGCAUAUACUUUAAAAUAAUGGAGAUCAACAGGAGAUGAUACUUGGACUCAGAUGAUUAAAGAGAGGUUUUGUAUGUUAUGCUAAAAAGCUUGGAUUUUAUCCUAAGGCCAGAGGACAUUAAUGCAAUGAUUUGUACAGGUAAGCGACAGAAAUUACUAUUAUUUUUUUGGUAAAGUGUGGAAAAUGUUUUAGAGGAGGUGUAUGUUGUAGAAUGUAUGUUAAAACCUAAUCUGCAAUGGGGCACCUGGUUGGCUCAGUUGGUAAAACAUGUGACUCUUGAUCUCA